rnacentral:tRNA from 4 species
GGGCGUGUGGCUCAGUUGGUAGAGCGUUCGCUUAGCAUACUCCUGUAUGCGAAAGGUCCUGGGUUCGAUUCCCAGCUCGUCCA